GGCCGCGCGCCAGAGUGGCAGUGGCAGAGCCAAUAGGAAACGGCAGUCCUUCGCCAGAGAGCCAAUCAGCGGGCGUAGCGGGGAGGAGAGGCGGGCUUCGCUGCGCCCUGUCCUGGGAGGCGGGGCUACAAAGGACGGACAACACGGCGGACCAAUGGGAGGCGGCGGCCGCGCCGGGCUGGCCGCGAUCUGCAGGGGUGUUUCCUGUGCUGGGGAAAGAGGCGGGGCCAGCCGUGAUUGGCAGGAGUGUUGAGCGGUCGGUCCGACAGCCAAUCCGCGCCUCACACACACAGACGGGGGAGGCAAGGCGGGGGGGCUGUGUAUUCGGCGGCGAGAGUAAGGGGGAAGGCGGGGCAUUGAGGAGAUGGGCAGGCCUUUUGGCUAAUCAGCGCAAAGCCCCGGCUGACGAACACUACCGGCUGACGUUGCGUUCGCCCGGUUCCUUAGGGGCGGGGCCCGCCCCUAGCGCGCGGAGCUGGCGGCGGCUGCCAUUGGCCGGCGGGGAGGGCGCGCGGGGGGGGGCGGAGCGGCGGCAGGGGCGGGGGGGCGGAGCGCGCGCCGCAGAGGAAGUAAACAACCCGGCCGCGCGCGAGCGGCCCGCGCGAGGGGCCGCGCGUGACGGCCCCCCCGGGCGCCAUGUCUGAGCCGGGGCUCUGCCUCAGCCGCCCUCACGGACCCCACACAUCCUCUCAGCCUCUAGAGCCCACUCACAGCCCUACAGACUGUCAUAGUCCCGACAGCCGCUCAAAGCCAUCACAGACUCUCUCAUAGCCCCCACCACCCCCCAAAGCCCUCACAGAUUCUCUCAUAGCCUCCUCAGAACCCUCACAGCCCCCUCAUCCCCCCCUUGCUGCGCUGGCAGAGCAGCGCGGUGUUGGUGACGUGCAGUGGUUGUUUAUUUUCCGUACGCUGCUGUGUCACCCUUGUCUCGGGUUCGGGGCUGCCCGCCGCCAGUCGCAGUAUGGUGACAAUCCGCGGUACUGCUGUGACCGCUGUGCAAUCCUUUGCCUGUGGCAUCCGAGUAGGCCACUGACAUAACUCCUAGGGUUUAGGUCAAAAUAUGAGAAGAGUGAAGAGCAAAUUCAUUCUGUUUCACAGUUAAUGGGCACUUCUGUGACGUAAAAAUCUCUGCUCCAUCUAGAUUAAUUGUAUUGAUAAAAUACAGCGCUGGAUGUUAUUACACGUACGGCUGCCCCACCGUUUCAGAGGCAAUGUUGGAGGGCAGGGAGCCACUUCCAGUCCUCUCCCCACUUCCCCAACACUCUCUUCCUCUGGUGAUUAACUGCUGCUUUUGCCCGCCCGCCCGUGUGCUCAGCGAGGCCGCUGUCCGGGCUGUGGGCAGAGCACACAGCGCUCCGUGACAGCCCGAGCCCAGGCCUGCUCCUGUGCGGGGGUGCCUAAACUGCAGGGCAGGGCAGGGUGUUGGCCGGGAUGCUGUUCCUGGUGCCUUCUCACUCCGAAUAAAAGCGUCCCUGCCAAAGAAACUAAAGAGAAAUCAAGAUCCCCUCCACGCGUCUCUUGAUCUUCACCAGACUUGAAGAACCUGUAGUUCUUAGAGCUGGAGUUUCUCUUGAAAUCACCUUUCCAGUCCUUGUCAGGGUGAAUGCCCUGUUGUUGGGUCCAUGGGACAUGGACAUAGCCCUGCUGCUGUGUCUGGGCUGAAAAGCACUCGCUGGGCAGGAAUUUGGCUUUUUGUUACUGGAGACUCCGAACGCUGGGAUCCAGAACACUGCUGGCUCUGGAAAUUACCCAUUUAUGAACCACUUCUCUUUAGAUUAGAAGCCAAAAAAAAAUCUAUAAUGGCUACAAGUGGGAAGUGACCUGUUGUGUUUGUGGAAGCUUUGGAAUCCCGCAGGAGAAGGAUCACUCAGCUCCGUGGCGGUGUGCCAAGUACAGCUUGUUCUGCAGCACAGCGCUGGGAAGUUGCAUUAUCAACUGGAGCGCGGUGUCGGCUUAGCAGGAGGGGGGUUAGGCCGGUGAUUAGCGACUUGUCGUGACCAGCGAGCCCCCAGGGUACCCUGCCCCUCUCCCCUUGCUUUCUAGUCCUGCCUUCCCUCCGCCUGGCCUCGGAGGUGGCCCUGCAGAGCUCCAGUGCCGCUCUCCUGUCCCUGCGCCGUGCUCAGCGUGUCCCGUGCGCUGGCCGUGUCUGUAAGGAAUAGUUUCUUACAUCGCUUCGUUGUUCAGAAGUCAUGUUUUGUUCCGCAAAUGCUAAAAGUGUAAAAUUUAAAGUUCGAUUUUAUUUCUGCUGUCCUACUUCUUUGUCCUGUUUGAUGAAGUCAGCAAUCCUACCAUCAUCUCAAACUCUGCUAGGAUAAUAAAUCCAUAUAAUCAAUACAGAGGAGUAAAAUAGUUUAGGCAGUAGAAAAGGGAAGUAGCUUAAAUAAGUGUCUUGCAGAUGGAAAAGACAUAAUGUGUGCUAAAAAUACAAAUGUGUUUGUAUUGUUCCAAGAAUUCCUGAUUAGCAAGAACAAACGGAGGGUAGACUAGGAUUUACAUGAGGAGGUUUGAACUUGAGUAGUAGUAGGAAAGGAGGUACUUGAACCCGUUUUUAAAAAUGCUUACUACAGACAUUGACAUAGAACAAAUUGUCAGGCAGAGCAGAGUCAUCUGACCUUUGUCCAAGCUCCCAGCAUUAAAACUUCUCAUGGGCUUGCUUUUAGCUGCAGUUCUGAAAUCUGUGUCUGCUCUUUUUGGAAUAAAACACAGCUACAUAUGGAGAAUGUAGGCUUUUCCCAGGUGAGCAGUGAGACUCGGCCGCAGUGCUCCCUGCUGCAGGGUACCCACAGACAAUGGGUCCUCUGCAUGCAACUGUGCAGAGCUCUGCAGGCUUCACUGCCAGCAGGGUGAAGCUUCUGCUUUCCCUGUCCUGCUGGGAAAAGUCUGUGACUGACAAAUCCCCCUGAGGGGCCCACAUGAGCCUCUGCAGCCUUUGGUACUGAAGGUGGCAGCUGUGGCAGAGGGCAGUGGUGAAGAGUUGUGCGUGCUCAUAUGGUGUCUGUGGCUAAAAUAAAUGAGUAAAUGCACUAGAAUAACUUGUGUAAGGCAAGAAGAUGUCUUAAAAUCUGGAGUUGAACAAAUUUAUAUUAAAAGUCAAUGUCAAAUAAAAGUACUGUACAUGUGGAGUAGACUUUCAGAGGAAAGAGAAUAUUUGUAUAAUAUGGACAUAAAUGUGGUUUAUACAUAUCUAUGCAUAAUGUAACCUUCAAGGGCCAAGCAGAAGAGAAGAAAAUCCUAAUCUGAAAAGAAUGAUGGAGGUUGGUGUGUCAUUUUAAGGAAGGAUUGAUGGCUUCAGAAUUGUUGGAAACAAUUUUUACAGAUUUCACUUGAAUGUCUGACUAACAGCUUAUGGUAAUUCACAUUAGCUUUUCACUGACUAAGCUAAGCAUCUUAUGGUACUGCUUGUUCCCAUUAGUGGCAAAUGCUAUAAGCUAUACAUUUCAGUUCAAAAAUACCUUUGCAUUAUUUGAUUCUGUAUGCUUUCCUAAAUGAGGCAGUAAAAAUGCUGAAAAGGUUGAAAGCUUUAAGCAAUGUUAGUGCAUGUUUCAUGCAGCAAUUGCAAACCCACUGUGUAUGUCAUUGCAUUAUUAUAUGGAUAUAGCACAUAUUUUGCAAAAUAGUGAUUAAAAUUAAGCUAUGAAAUACAAAACUAAAUCUAAUGAUCAUGAAUCCAUUGUGUUUUCAGAAAGGGUGAGCUGACUGACAAACUUUCAGUCAAGAAUGGAAUGUACAGAAACACUCAAAUUCUUUAGUUUAAUAUAGUUUUAUUUGGCAGUGGCAUGGAUUCAGGUCAUUACCCUCAAUCUUUUUAAAUCAUUGGAAUGAGAAUUUCUCUCAGUCUUCCAUGAAUACACCCCACUUUUGGGUGAUGAGGGAAUGUCUGUAUAGCUCACACCCAGGUACAUCAUGUGCAUGGAAUCAAAUCUACCAGGGGGGUCUGGAAAAUGAAGUUGUAGCAAGAGGAAUGCUUCAUCAGGUCUGAUUCUGCAGCCACACCUGGCAGGGAGCUGCCCUUGAAGUCACACACAUUUUGUGAGAUUUAUUGCCCUACUUUUGCAGACUCUGGAGAUUUAGAGAAGCAUCCAAACUUGCAUGUGUUUGGAUGAACUGAACUGUUUGAUUUCUGAAGGACUCAAACUAGAGGAAUGGGUUAUUCCUAAAUUAUGGGAAGUUUGGGUCUAAAUUAAAAUGCUCAUAUAACAUUGAGUUAUAUGGUGUGUAAAUGAAAGAAUGCCUAUUGUGGUGUCCUUAAAGCCACAUUGUCUCAUGAUCUCAGUCUUAAAUUUUGAUUGCUCCUGGGCGGUCAUAAAGACACACUGUGAGUAGAUAAGGGAUGUCUCCAGAAACACCCACUCCUGCCGUGGGUCCUUGCAGCCCUCCAUGGUCCUGGUCAGCAGUGUCCCUGCUGCCUUUUCCCACAUUCAGCAGAGCCAUCUGCACUGCUGCCUUAUCUUGCCAACGCCCUUGCCCUGUCCUGCCUGAGCUGGGCAGGUGCUACACCAUGGCUGUAAUCCAAGAGUCUAACCACAGCCCAUGGAAAUCCUUGGGAUUUGAGUUAAACUUGAAACCAUUUUGUGUUUUAGUUUCCAAACUAUAAAAUGGAAAAAAUUACCACCUUUCUUCAACAUUUCCUUUUAUCCUUUUUUAGCUGCAUGGUACCUAUGAAGAUUUGAAUUCCAAUCUCAGUUCAGUCUAGACUCUAUGGUAAUAAAAACUGAUUUUACUAGAAAUAAGCUGUAAUGUAUUUACAAGCUUUGUGUCUCUUUUCAGUCAAAUGCCAAGUUUCAACUCAAACUUUGAGAGUUGUCGUAACAGUUUUCUGCACCCACUGGGAUGUGCUUAUCAGCAAUAUUCAUUGCAGUUAUGUGUACUUGCUUUAUUUUUUUACUGUCUCCUUGAUCUUUCUCCAAGCUUGCAAUUCUGUGACCAUUUCUGGUUUUAUACCCAAGAGCAAAAGCAAACCAGGAGG